GAUGAAGAACGCAGCGAAAUGCGAUAAGUAGUGUGAAUUGCAGAAUUCAGUGAAUCAUCGAAUCUUUGAACGCACAUUGCGCCCCUUGGUAUCCCGAGGGGCAUGCCUGUUCGAGCGUCAUUUCACCACUCAAGCCUGGCUUGGUGUUGGGCGACGUCCCCUUUGGGGACGCGCCUCGAAACGCUCGGCGGCGUGGCACCGGCUUUAAGCGUAGCAGAAUCUUUCGCUUUGGAAGUCGGGGCCCCGGCUGCCGGAAGACCUACUCGCAAGGUUGACCUCGGAUCAGGCAGGGAUACCCGCUGAACUUAAGCAUAUCAAUAAGCGGAGGA
rnacentral:misc_RNA from 1 species